rnacentral:lncRNA from 1 species
GGUAGAGAUCAUACUAUAUUUGAAGUUGCAGUGUAUCGUAAAAAUCUGGAGGACAUCCCUCUCUCUGUAAAUACAAUCCUUGGAGAUACAACGUACAUAAUUUUGAUUUUCAUUCGUAAUGCUGAAGCUAGGCAUCCAUCAUCUUUUGCUAUUUAUCCACGAGUAGAUUUCGAGCGAGACUGGACUCCUUAUGCACCAGUAGAAGAAGUUGGACCUGCAUUAGAGCCAUCUUCAUCGAAUGCUCCUCCAAAUAUCCGUAAUG